AAACAGCAGACAGAAUGGUCCCAGCAUGCUGGCUGCCUUUUUGUGUUUGAACAGUGGCCGUCAGUCCCAGCCUUGCAGGAUAAUUAAAAGAGAAACCUGUAAAAGCAACAUUCCCGUGAGCGAGUUGGUGCUGCAACGUGCUGGUCUACGCUGCUGCAGAAAGGAGUGAGCCAGGCACUGAG